rnacentral:rRNA from 1 species
UACAGAGGGGGCAAGCGUUGUUCGGAAUUACUGGGCGUAAAGGGCGCGUAGGCGGCCUGUUAAGUCGAACGUGAAAUCCCCGGGCUCAACCCGGGAACUGCGUCCGAUACUGGCAGGCUUGAAUCCGGGAGAGGGAUGCGGAAUUCCAGGUGUAGCGGUGAAAUGCGUAGAUAUCUGGAGGAACACCGGUGGCGAAGGCGGCAUCCUGGACCGGCAUUGACGCUGAGGCGCGAAAGCCAGGGGAGCAAAACGGGG